rnacentral:rRNA from 1 species
GACGAACGCUGGCGGCGUGCCUAAUACAUGCAAGUCGAACGAACUCUGGUAUUGAUUGGUGCUUGCAUCAUGAUUUACAUUUGAGUGAGUGGCGAACUGGUGAGUAACACGUGGGAAACCUGCCCAGAAGCGGGGGAUAACACCUGGAAACAGAUGCUAAUACCGCAUAACAACUUGGACCGCAUGGUCCGAGUUUGAAAGAUGGCUUCGGCUAUCACUUUUGGAUGGUCCCGCGGCGUAUUAGCUAGAUGGUGAGGUAACGGCUCACCAUGGCAAUGAUACGUAGCCGACCUGAGAGGGUAAUCGGCCACAUUGGGACUGAGACACGGCCCAAACUCCUACGGGAGGCAGCAGUAGGGAAUCUUCCACAAUGGACGAAAGUCUGAUGGAGCAACGCCGCGUGAGUGAAGAAGGGUUUCGGCUCGUAAAACUCUGUUGUUAAAGAAGAACAUAUCUGAGAGUAACUGUUCAGGUAUUGACGGUAUUUAACCAGAAAGCCACGGCUAACUACGUGCCAGCAGCCGCGGUAAUACGUAGGUGGCAAGCGUUGUCCGGAUUUAUUGGGCGUAAAGCGAGCGCAGGCGGUUUUUUAAGUCUGAUGUGAAAGCCUUCGGCUCAACCGAAGAAGUGCAUCGGAAACUGGGAAACUUGAGUGCAGAAGAGGACAGUGGAACUCCAUGUGUAGCGGUGAAAUGCGUAGAUAUAUGGAAGAACACCAGUGGCGAAGGCGGCUGUCUGGUCUGUAACUGACGCUGAGGCUCGAAAGUAUGGGUAGCAAACAGGAUUAGAUACCCUGGUAGUCCAUACCGUAAACGAUGAAUGCUAAGUGUUGGAGGGUUUCCGCCCUUCAGUGCUGCAGCUAACGCAUUAAGCAUUCCGCCUGGGGAGUACGGCCGCAAGGCUGAAACUCAAAGGAAUUGACGGGGGCCCGCACAAGCGGUGGAGCAUGUGGUUUAAUUCGAAGCUACGCGAAGAACCUUACCAGGUCUUGACAUACUAUGCAAAUCUAAGAGAUUAGACGUUCCCUUCGGGGACAUGGAUACAGGUGGUGCAUGGUUGUCGUCAGCUCGUGUCGUGAGAUGUUGGGUUAAGUCCCGCAACGAGCGCAACCCUUAUUAUCAGUUGCCAGCAUUAAGUUGGGCACUCUGGUGAGACUGCCGGUGACAAACCGGAGGAAGGUGGGGAUGACGUCAAAUCAUCAUGCCCCUUAUGACCUGGGCUACACACGUGCUACAAUGGAUGGUACAACGAGUUGCGAACUCGCGAGAGUAAGCUAAUCUCUUAAAGCCAUUCUCAGUUCGGAUUGUAGGCUGCAACUCGCCUACAUGAAGUCGGAAUCGCUAGUAAUCGCGGAUCAGCAUGCCGCGGUGAAUACGUUCCCGGGCCUUGUACACACCGCCCGUCACACCAUGAGAGUUUGUAACACCCAAAGUCGGUGGGGUAACCUUUUAGGAACCAGCCGCCUAAGGUGGGACAGAUGAUUAGGGUGAAGUCGAAACAAGGUAGCCGUA